rnacentral:lncRNA from 1 species
GCAUAUCACUUAUCACGUAAUUGAUAUAUAAGUGCAUUAUCAUUAUUAUUACUAUUUUAAUUUCCUUUUGAGAAAGCAGAAUUCGGAUGAUCUGGAAAUAUUUCAUAAUGGAUACAAAGACCCGCUACCAACUGGGAAGGAAUUAGGUCUGGAGUUUCAAGGAGUGGGAAAUCUCCAUCAUAAUUAUCCUGCAAAACUUCUAAGUUAUCGAACUGGAGAAAGCAGCAGGUUCUUGAUCAAAUUUCUUUAAUAAAAUUAUUUUAUAAAUUAUUAGCGAUAUUUUAAUUAAUACUAUUCUAAAUUAAUUACUUAAUUUGUUUAGAUAAUAAAACUCAUUUGCCCAUGUAGUGCUGCUAUCUUGUACAAUGAAAAGCUGAAACAAGAAGUUAAGGAUGUUGUUUCUGCAGUACCGAUAUCAAAGAAAGGGAAGGAACACAUUGAAGGGUAGAUUUAUUAUGUAAUUGCAUAUAUAUAUAAAUAAUGUUCAUAUACAUACAUACAUACCCAGAUGGAUAUUCAUAAACAUACAUAUCCUGAUGGAUAUUUGUAUGUUAAUAUCAAUAGAACUUCUUAUAAGCAGUCAAAAAGUUUAUUCUAAUAAUAAUUAUAAUAAUUUAAAGCUGUUCAAUUAUAUAGUUGAUGAGGCUAGCUCCUCCUAUUAAGCUAAUUAAUAUUUUGUUUUCACGUAUCAUAGUGUUCUAUUUUUUUAGCCUUGAUGGCUUGGGAUAAACGACUCUAGAUUUCGUGUUUGUAUGUGAGCAGAUGCUGCAUUAAAAAAUACAACAUAUCACAUUAGAUUUCCAGUAGGGAGAGGGUUUACAAUUAACUCAUUGGGCAAGUUUAUCUGCAGCCUUCAUAAGCUCUCUUUAGCUACCAAAUUUACAGUGCAUGAAAGUAUCACCCAAAACUCUACUUUCUGCACUCUGUCGUCAAUCAACUAGUCAACCUUAUAGCUUUUGCAUGAGCUUUUAGCGAAUAGUAAGAUAGAGGAAUUUUUAAUGUAAAUUAAAGAAACACAAAAUAAGGUUUAAACGUAAGUCAUUUGAGGGAAGCUACCUUUAAAUGGCUAUCUAGAACUCACUUGAACAGGAAAUCAGUAAUUCAUUGUCUUCUUGUCCGUAGCAAAGCUAAUUCUUCAAGUCAUUUCUUACUCCUUUGAGGCAUCCAAUCAUCAAUAAUACAAAUGAGCUAACAUGAAUGCAGAUAAAUUUAUCAUGGAUUUUCUCUGAAGAUGUAACUACAUCUUGUCUAAAUUCUCUCUCCUAUUUUCCAAACACUACUCAUAAUCUAUUCUUUUUUCAAUUUUGAGACAAAUAUUCAACUAACCUUUGUAUCUAUAUCUACAUUAAUUUUAGUCGAUACAGCUACAGGGCAAUUGAAAAGCCCUAUAGUACGUAUAACUAAGACAAUUUCAUCUUAUUCAUCUAAACCCUUUUGAACAUUAUUUUGUAUAUACUAAUGUUAUUCAUAACUGCUUAAAAUAUUAUUAGUUGUUCAUUGUACUAUUAUAUCAUAAAAUGCCAUAUAUGUGUAAUAAGAUCGGGAACUAAAAAUGCUCGUAAUAUCCGAAACACAAAAUUUUAUAAACACUCUUCAUAAAACAUGUUUGAUCUAUAAGAAUCAUGAGAAAUGGCACCAUGAAAUUUAGAAAUAACUAUAAAUAUUGUAUUACCUAAAAGAAGAAGUUGAUCUCAAACAAAAUUUAUGAAAUUAAUAUUAUGACAAAAUAUGUUUGUAAUUGUUGGUAAUAAAAAUACUGGAUUGACUCUAUAUAAUUUUUUAAAAAUAAUAUUAUUAUUAUCAACUAAGGAUCCAUUAUGUUAGUUAUAAUUAAUUGAUAAUUAAGCUUAGCGUACUAUUUAUUUAUCUUAUGUACAAAUUUUUUAACUAUGAUAUUACAAAUAUAGGAUGACUUGCAUAUAUUCUGAAUACUAUAUAAAAAAUAGAAAGAUAAAUUAUCAAUGCAUAAUAAUCAAUCACUCUAAAUUAGGAUUCUAUUUAUUGGUAUGGAAAGAAUAUGAAAAUAUUAGACCUAACAAAAUCGAGGAUCGAAUUUGGAGAAAGAGUUUGAUUUAUUAUUAAAGUAGUCACCUCUUAAUAUAGUCACAACUAAAAUAAUCAUAAUGUUUUUUAAAAAUAAUUAAAAAUUAAUAAAAAAAUAUGAACAUGAUCAUGGUUUGAGAAGUGAGGUUUGUACACAAAAAUAAGAAACUAAGGAGAAAUAGAAAGAACUGAUAAGCAUGGAAUAGAAGUUUGCAUAUAAUAAUUGAGCAUUAAACCUUAAGACACUAAAAGCAAGGGUGCUAGCUCUUUUAUUGGAAUAGGUAGAGAUCUAGCAGAAAAAAUAUGAGCCAAACCUCAAACUAUUGGACCUGUGAUAGUGGUCAGAGUGGGCGCUGUAUCAUCUCACGAGCUACUAGAGUUAGGGAAGAAGUUGAAUGUGACGGAGAUGUUGACUUAGUGAAACGCUGGGUAGCAGAACAGCUGGACUUUCCACCUGCUGCAGUGGUGUUGUGAGUUUCAGGGGCGCUGGUCUUGGGAA